rnacentral:lncRNA from 1 species
UUUCUUCUGUCUCCUUUGUAUUUCAUUCUCCUUUCCUUUUUGUCAGAUUUAUUCCCUUCCUAAAUCAUUUGGUACAUUCUCUUUAUAUCCUUGGUAGCCGUGAUUAUUUCCCCUGCUGUUCUUUUUAUCGUCUUUAUAUUACUCUUGCUUCUUUUCCUUUGUCUUUAUCGUCUCUUCUUUUCAUCUCCUUUUCUCUUUUUUUACUUCCUCCUUUGCUUCUAUUAACUUAUCAUACUCCUACAUGUCGCUUUGUGACAACCAAAAAGUCAAAUAGUUGACGGAGUAAAUUUCCAAACAACGUUCUAUGUUUAUUCUAUGAUGGUUACCGUAUUAGUUACCCUAUGAAAAACUGUUGGUUAGUAUGUAGAUACACUAUGGGUGGGACUAAAUGCACGAGAAAGCUCUGCUUUUGAGUGUGUUUUAGUCCUACCCAUCGCGUAUCUUCAUACUGACCAAUCGUUUUUCAUUAGGGUAAAUAAUAUGUGCCAUGGUUGGUUUUAGAAAACAAUAGA